rnacentral:rRNA from 1 species
UACAGAGGUCUCAAGCGUUGUUCGGAUUCAUUGGGCGUAAAGGGUGCGUAGGCGGCGCGGUAAGUCGGGUGUGAAAUCUCGGAGCUUAACUCCGAAACUGCAUUCGAUACUGCCGUGCUUGAGGACUGGAGAGGAGACUGGAAUUUACGGUGUAGCGGUGAAAUGCGUAGAUAUCGAGAGGAACACCAGUGGCGAAGGCGGCUCACUGGGCUCUACCUGACGCUGAGGCGCGAAAGCGUGGGGAGCGAACCGG